GGGAGAUCACCUUCAGCACCAACAUGUUCUCUGUAGCUCUGCUGCUGCUGCUGCUGGCUGCUGGAUCCUGUGUAAACUGUGAGCAGCUGACACAGUCACCCUCUGUUAUACUGCAGCCAGGUCAGCGUCUGACCAUCACCUGUCAGGUCUCUUAUUCUCUUGGCUUGUUGACAGGUUGGAUCAGGCAGCCUGCAGGGAAAGGACUGGAGUGGAUUGGUGUGAAAUGUACUGGGGGCUCUUACUAUAAAGAUUCACUAAAGAGCAAGUUCAGCAUUGACUUGGACACUUCAAGCAAGACAGUGACUCUAAAUGGUCAGAACAUGCAGCCUGAAGACUCUGCUGUGUAUUACUGUGCCAGAGAGUCACAGUAA